CGGGCGUUAAGUUGCAGGGUAUAGACCCGAAACCCGGUGAUCUAGCCAUGGGCAGGUUGAAGGUUGGGUAACACUAACUGGAGGACCGAACCGACUAAUGUUGAAAAAUUAGCGGAUGACCUGUGGCUGGGGGUGAAAGGCCAAUCAAACCGGGAGAUAGCUGGUUCUCCCCGAAAGCUAUUUAGGUAGCGCCUCGUGAAUUCAUCUCCGGGGGUAGAGCACUGUUUCGGCUAGGGGGCCAUCCCGGCUUACCAACCCGAUGCAAACUGCGAAUACCGGAGAAUGUUAUCACGGGAGACACACGGCGGGUGCUAACGUCCGUCGUGAAGAGGGAAACAACCCAGACCGCCAGCUAAGGUCCCAAAGUCAUGGUUAAGUGGGAAACGAUGUGGGAAGGCCCAGACAGCCAGGAUGUUGGCUUAGAAGCAGCCAUCAUUUAAAGAAAGCGUAAUAGCUCACUGGUCGAGUCGGCCUGCGCGGAAGAUGUAACGGGGCUAAACCAUGCACCGAAGCUGCGGCAGCGACACUGUGUGUUGUUGG
rnacentral:rRNA from 2 species